rnacentral:rRNA from 1 species
UACGGGGGGGGCAAGCGUUGUUCGGAAUUACUGGGCGUAAAGGGCUCGUAGGCGGCCAACUAAGUCGGAUGUGAAAUCCCCAGGCUCAACUUGGGAACUGCGUCCGAUACUGGAUGGCUUGGAUUCGGGAGAGGGAUGCGGAAUUCCAGGUGUAGCGGUGAAAUGCGUAGAUAUCUGGAGGAACACCGGUGGCGAAGGCGGCAUCCUGGACCGAUAUUGACGCUGAGGAGCGAAAGCCAGGGGAGCAAACGGG